rnacentral:rRNA from 1 species
GUACACACCGCCCGUCGCUGCUACCGAUUGGAUGAUCCGGUGAAAUCCUCGGAUUGAUGUAAUUAUCUAGCAGCAAUGUUAGAUAUUAUAUUGAGAAGUUGAUUAAACCUUAUCAUCUAGAGGAAGCAAAAGUCGUAACAAGGUAUUCGUAGGUGAACCUGCAGAAGGAUCA